rnacentral:rRNA from 1 species
AGCGUACACGGUGGAUGCCCUGGCAGUCAGAGGCGAUGAAGGACGUGCUAAUCUGCGAUAAGCGCCGGUAAGGUGAUAUGAACCGUUAUAACCGGCGAUUUCCGAAUGGGGAAACCCAGUGUGAUUCGUCACACUAUCAUUAACUGAAUCCAUAGGUUAAUGAGGCGAACCGGGGGAACUGAAACAUCUAAGUACCCCGAGGAAAAGAAAUCAACCGAGAUUCCCCCAGUAGCGGCGAGCGAACGGGGAGGAGCCCAGAGCCUGAAUCAGCAUGUGUGUUAGUGGAAGCGUCUGGAAAGGCGCGCGAUACAGGGUGACAGCCCCGUACACAAAAGCGCAUGUGCUGUGAGCUCGAUGAGUAGGGCGGGACACGUGGUAUCCUGUCUGAAUAUGGGGGGACCAUCCUCCAAGGCUAAAUACUCCUGACUGACCGAUAGUGAACCAGUACCGUGAGGGAAAGGCGAAAAGAACCCCGGCGAGGGGAGUGAAAAAGAACCUGAAACCGUGUACGUACAAGCAGUGGGAGCACCCUUCGGGGUGUGACUGCGUACCUUUUGUAUAAUGGGUCAGCGACUUAUAUUCUGUAGCAAGGUUAACCGUAUAGGGGAGCCGGAGGGAAACCGAGUCUUAAUUGGGCGUUAAGUUGCAGGGUAUAGACCCGAAACCCGGUGAUCUAGCCAUGGGCAGGUUGAAGGUUGGGUAACACUAACUGGAGGACCGAACCGACUAAUGUUGAAAAAUUAGCGGAUGACCUGUGGCUGGGGGUGAAAGGCCAAUCAAACCGGGAGAUAGCUGGUUCUCCCCGAAAGCUAUUUAGGUAGCGCCUCGUGAAUUCAUCUCCGGGGGUAGAGCACUGUUUCGGCUAGGGGGCCAUCCCGGCUUACCAACCCGAUGCAAACUGCGAAUACCGGAGAAUGUUAUCACGGGAGACACACGGCGGGUGCUAACGUCCGUCGUGAAGAGGGAAACAACCCAGACCGCCAGCUAAGGUCCCAAAGUCAUGGUUAAGUGGGAAACGAUGUGGGAAGGCCCAGACAGCCAGGAUGUUGGCUUAGAAGCAGCCAUCAUUUAAAGAAAGCGUAAUAGCUCACUGGUCGAGUCGGCCUGCGCGGAAGAUGUAACGGGGCUAAACCAUGCACCGAAGCUGCGGCAGCGAACGUAUCACCCAAGACAACUUUACGGAGUUGACGAUUGACGGAGCGAAGCGACGUCAAAGCGUUCAUUAAAGUCGAGUUGGCUUAGGGAUACGUUCGUUGGGUAGGGGAGCGUUCUGUAAGCCUGUGAAGGUGUGUCGUGAGGCAUGCUGGAGGUAUCAGAAGUGCGAAUGCUGACAUAAGUAACGAUAAAGCGGGUGAAAAGCCCGCUCGCCGGAAGACCAAGGGUUCCUGUCCAACGUUAAUCGGGGCAGGGUGAGUCGACCCCUAAGGCGAGGCCGAAAGGCGUAGUCGAUGGGAAACGGGUUAAUAUUCCCGUACUUGGUGUUACUGCGAAGGGGGGACGGAGAAGGCUAUGUUGGCCGGGCGACGGUUGUCCCGGUUUAAGCGUGUAGGUGUGUGUUCCAGGUAAAUCCGGUUCACUUUAACACUGAGGCGUGACGACGAGGCACUACGGUGCUGAAGCAACAAAUGCCCUGCUUCCAGGAAAAGCCUCUAAGCAUCAGGUAACAUCAAAUCGUACCCCAAACCGACACAGGUGGUCAGGUAGAGAAUACCAAGGCGCUUGAGAGAACUCGGGUGAAGGAACUAGGCAAAAUGGUGCCGUAACUUCGGGAGAAGGCACGCUGACACGUAGGUGAAGUGAUUUACUCAUGGAGCUGAAGUCAGUCGAAGAUACCAGCUGGCUGCAACUGUUUAUUAAAAACACAGCACUGUGCAAACACGAAAGUGGACGUAUACGGUGUGACGCCUGCCCGGUGCCGGAAGGUUAAUUGAUGGGGUCAGCGCAAGCGAAGCUCCUGAUCGAAGCCCCGGUAAACGGCGGCCGUAACUAUAACGGUCCUAAGGUAGCGAAAUUCCUUGUCGGGUAAGUUCCGACCUGCACGAAUGGCGUAAUGAUGGCCAGGCUGUCUCCACCCGAGACUCAGUGAAAUUGAACUCGCUGUGAAGAUGCAGUGUACCCGCGGCAAGACGGAAAGACCCCGUGAACCUUUACUAUAGCUUGACACUGAACAUUGAGCCUUGAUGUGUAGGAUAGGUGGGAGGCUUUGAAGUGUGGACGCCAGUCUGCAUGGAGCCGACCUUGAAAUACCACCCUUUAAUGUUUGAUGUUCUAACGUGGACCCGUAAUCCGGGUUGCGGACAGUGUCUGGUGGGUAGUUUGACUGGGGCGGUCUCCUCCUAAAGAGUAACGGAGGAGCACGAAGGUUGGCUAAUCCUGGUCGGACAUCAGGAGGUUAGUGCAAUGGCAUAAGCCAGCUUGACUGCGAGCGUGACGGCGCGAGCAGGUGCGAAAGCAGGUCAUAGUGAUCCGGUGGUUCUGAAUGGAAGGGCCAUCGCUCAACGGAUAAAAGGUACUCCGGGGAUAACAGGCUGAUACCGCCCAAGAGUUCAUAUCGACGGCGGUGUUUGGCACCUCGAUGUCGGCUCAUCACAUCCUGGGGCUGAAGUAGGUCCCAAGGGUAUGGCUGUUCGCCAUUUAAAGUGGUACGCGAGCUGGGUUUAGAACGUCGUGAGACAGUUCGGUCCCUAUCUGCCGUGGGCGCUGGAGAACUGAGGGGGGCUGCUCCUAGUACGAGAGGACCGGAGUGGACGCAUCACUGGUGUUCGGGUUGUCAUGCCAAUGGCACUGCCCGGUAGCUAAAUGCGGAAGAGAUAAGUGCUGAAAGCAUCUAAGCACGAAACUUGCCCCGAGAUGAGUUCU